CCAAGGAGUCUAACAUGUGCGCGAGUCACUCGGUCUUGAAUAGGCCAGAGAGGCGCAAUGAAAGUAAAGUUGAUUGAGUUACGAUCCUUAGUUAGCCCGCAAGGGCGCUGAGGCGCAGUAACAGCCCGCCAAUUUCGCUUAUUGACGAUCUGGCGGAGUUGUAGCGUACACGUUGGUACCCGAAAGAUGGUGAACUAUGCCUGGGCAAGACGAAGCCAGAGGAAACUCUGGUGGAGGUCUGUAGCGAUUCUGACGUGCAAAUCGAUCGUCAGACCUGGGUAUAGGGGCGAAAGACUAAUCGAACCAUC
rnacentral:rRNA from 5 species